GAUGAACGCUGGCGGCGUGCCUAAUACAUGCAAGUCGAGCGAACGGACGAGAAGCUUGCUUCUCUGAUGUUAGCGGCGGACGGGUGAGUAACACGUGGAUAACCUACCUAUAAGACUGGGAUAACUUCGGGAAACCGGAGCUAAUAUCGGAUAAUAUUUUGAACCGCAUGGUUCAAAAGUAAAAGACGGUCUUGCUGUCACUUAUAGAUGGAUCCGCGCUGCAUUAGCUAGUUGGUAAGGUAACGGCUUACCAAGGCAACGAUGCAUAGCCGACCUGAGAGGGUGAUCGGCCACACUGGAACUGAGACACGGUCCAGACUCCUACGGGAGGCAGCAGUAGGGAAUCUUCCGCAAUGGGCGAAAGCCUGACGGAGCAACGCCGCGUGAGUGAUGAAGGUCUUCGGAUCGUAAAACUCUGUUAUUAGGGAAGAACAUAUGUGUAAGUAACUGUGCACAUCUUGACGGUACCUAAUCAGAAAGCCACGGCUAACUACGUG
rnacentral:rRNA from 1 species